GGCUCUGUGGCGCAAUGGAUAGCGCAUUGGACUUCUGGUUGAAUGUAGGCAUUCAAAGGUUGUGGGUUCGAAUCCCACCAAAGUCG
rfam:Xenopus tropicalis strain Nigerian scaffold_41_contig_19, whole genome shotgun sequence.